GGCCGGUUAGCUCAGUUGGUUAGAGCGCGGUGCUAUUAACGCUGAGGUCGUGGGUUCGAUCACCAUAUCGGCCA
rnacentral:tRNA from 1 species